CAAAGCAGCGGGAAAAUGUGCAGAUACCAAGCUGAAUCUAUACUUCUGGAGGGCACAUCUUACAAAGGGGUGGAAAUUACAAGAGAGACAACAGCUGGUGAUUCUGGACAAGUAGAAGAUGAAAACACUUUUCAAAGUGACUGCAAAGCUGCGGCUGCUUUUUGCUACAACAAGGACUUGGA